rnacentral:rRNA from 1 species
CCCUACGGGGCGCAGCAGGCGCGAAAUCUUUACAAUGCGGGAAACCGCGAUAAGGGGACACCGAGUGCCAGCAUUUAUGUUGGCUGUCCACAUGUGUAAACGGCAUGUGUUAGCAAGGGCCGGGCAAGACCGGUGCCAGCCGCCGCGGUAACACCGGCGGCCCGAGUGGUAAUCACUUUUAUUGGGUCUAAAGGGUCCGUAGCCGGUUUGAUCAGUUCUUCGGGAAAUCUGACAGCUCAACUGUUAGGCUUCCGGGGAAUACUGUCAGAC